rnacentral:rRNA from 1 species
AUUGAACGCUGGCGGCAUGCUUUACACAUGCAAGUCGAACGGCAGCGCGGGCUUCGGCCUGGCGGCGAGUGGCGAACGGGUGAGUAAUAUAUCGGAACAUACCCAAGAGUGGGGGAUAACGUAGCGAAAGUUACGCUAAUACCGCAUACGAUCUAAGGAUGAAAGCAGGGGAUCGCAAGACCUUGUGCUCCUGGAGCGGC